CUAAAACCUCCCCGCUUUUGCGGUGUUUCGGUGAUUCAUAAUAAAUUAGCGAAUCGCAUGGCUUUGCUGACGAUGUAUCAUUCAAGUUUCUGACCUAUCAGCUUUGGACGGUAGGGUAUUGGCCUACCGGGGCAACGACGGGUAACGGGGAAUUAGGGUUCGAUUCCGGAGAGGGAGCCUGAGAAACG
rnacentral:rRNA from 1 species